UACGAAGGGGGCUAGCGUUGUUCGGAAUUACUGGGCGUAAAGCGCACGCAGGCGGAUUGAUUAGUCGGGGGUGAAAUCCCGGGGCUCAACCUCGGAAUUGCCUUCGAUACUGUCAGUCUUGAGUCCGGGAGAGGUGAGUGGAAUUCCUAGUGUAGAGGUGAAAUUCGUAGAUAUUAGGAAGAACACCAGUGGCGAAGGCGGCUCACUGGCCCGGUACUGACGCUCAUGUGCGAAAGCGAGGGGAGCAAACAGG
rnacentral:rRNA from 1 species